rnacentral:lncRNA from 1 species
AGGGUGGUCCAAAGCUAGCUGGGAGUGCCACACAUCAUGAAGGACCCUUGGUGACAAGGCUCUCUCCCUCCCUCUCUGCCAUCCUCAGUAUAUCUGACUUGGCUUCCUGACAUUGCCCCUCAUGCCUGCACAAUGGCCAUCCCAGACCCAGGCAGUAUGUGCAGAUGCAGCAAGUCUACUUGAAGAAAAGAGGCACGUCCUAUUUCCUUUUGUCUGGGUUGCGGUAUUUUCUAGCAAUCUCCCACCCCAGAAAGCUUCACCUCAGGUCCACUCAUCCAGGAUUAGGUCAUAAACUCAGCCCCUCCUUCAGGAGUUGGGUAGCUAUCAUUUUCUCUUUAUGGCAGGGUGGGGUUCUUCUGAUAAGGCAGAUGUGACAGAGUGAGAUGCAACUGCAAACAGGUGAUCUGAAGUAUCCGCCACUGGACUGCUAGCUCCAAUUUACCAAUGCAGAAACUAAGGCCCAAAGUGGUUAAAGAAGAUGCUGAUAAUUAUACAACCAAUAAAGACCAGGGGUAGAAAUCAUCCCAAGUUUGUCUCACCAUAAAGCCGGCCAUGCCAAAAAUUAAAAUCAAAUAAAUCCACCUGUGCAGCCACCCUCAAAAGGAAGUAGAGAAGUAAAAAGUGCUAUUUUUCUGAAGGGCAUCAGGCUUUCCCACCCUCAGUUCCAGAGCUCUGUGCAGGAGUGGUAGGGGGUGAUCUUCCAUAACAAUAAAUAUUGCCAUAUGCCAGGAAGUAUACUGGCACUGUGGGUCCAAAGACGAGUCUGGUGUGGUGCAGACUUUGCAAAGCACAGUGGGAAAUGAAGCUCACCUGGCACAUAUAUUGCAGGUGGGCAUGUCAGGGCUACAGUGAGGGUAGGGCCAGAGGCUGAGGGGCACAGGCCUGGGGGCAACCAACUUUGGCUGGAAGAGUCAGGGAGAACUUCACUAAAGAGGUGACAUUUGAAUUAGUUUGCAAAAGUACGCAGGAGUUCUUUU